rnacentral:rRNA from 1 species
UACGUAGGGGGCUAGCGUUGUCCGGAAUCAUUGGGCGUAAAGAGCGCGUAGGCGGCCAGAUAAGUCCGGUGUGAAAGUCAAAGGCUCAACCUUUGAAUGCCGCUGGAAACUGUCUGGCUAGAGUCCGGGAGGGGCGAGUGGAAUUCCUGGUGUAGCGGUGAAAUGCGCAGAUAUCAGGAGGAACACCUGCGGCGAAGGCGGGUAGCUGGGCCGACACUGACGCUGAGGCGCGAAAGCCAGGGGAGCGAACGGG